rnacentral:lncRNA from 1 species
CCUGCCAGCCAGAAACCAUGACUUAAAUAAUUGCUCACCCUUUGGCCAACCUGAUUGCUCCUGGACAGAUCUCAGCUCCUAAAUCUUCAGACUUUAAGCAGUAUGGGUUUUAUCCAGUGUCAGGUUGAUGGGAUUCAGUCAUCUCACUGAAAACGCCCCGGUAGAAAGGGUAACAAGAGGACUCAUUCAGGACUCUCAAAAGGCUGGCGGCCUCUCUGACCAACCACCUCCCAAAGGCCCACUUCCUACACUGUCACCUCGAAAUCUUGAAUUUUGACAUAUGAGUUUGCGAGCCGAGGAAGACAUGAAACAUUCACACCAGCA